CGGGAGGCUUAAUACAUGCAAGUCGAACGGUAAGGUCUAGCUUGCUAGAUACACGAGUGGCGCGCGGGUGAGUAACGCGUACACAAUCUACCCUUGAUUAAGGAAUAGCCCUGGGAAACUGGGAAUAAUACCUUAUAGUAUUGCUUGUUAUAAAGGUGAGUAAUUAAAGCUCCGGCGAUCAAGGAUGAGUGUGCGUCCCAUUAGCUAGUUGGUAAGGUAAGGGCUUACCAAGGCGACGAUCUAUAGGGGGCGUGAGAGCGUGAUCCCCCACACGGGUACUGAGACACGGACCCGACUCCUACGGGAGGCAGCAUUAAGGAAUAUUGGACAAUGGAG
rnacentral:rRNA from 1 species